rnacentral:rRNA from 1 species
AGCAAAUCUCAAAAAGACCGUCCCAGUUCGGAUUGCAGGCUGCAACCCGCCUGCAUGAAGUUGGAAUCGCUAGUAAUCGCGGAUCAGCAUGCCGCGGUGAAUACGUUCCCGGGCCUUGUACACACCGCCCGUCACACCAUGAGAGUCGGGAACACCCGAAGUCCGUAGCCUAACCGCAAGGAGGGCGCGGCCGAAGGUGGGUUCGAUAAUUGGGGUGAAGUCGUAACAAGGUAAC